rnacentral:tRNA from 1 species
ACUAAAAUAGCUUAGCUGGGAGAGCAUUAGACUGAAUAUUUAAAGGUCCAUGGUUUGAUCCUGGGUUUCAGCA